UACGGAGGGGGGCUAGCGUUGUUCGGAAUUACUGGGCGUAAAGCGCACGUAGGCGGCUUUGUAAGUUAGAGGUGAAAAGCCCAGGGCUCAACCCUGGAAUUGCCUUUAAGACUGCAUCGCUUGAACAUCGGAGAGGUAAGUGGAAUUCCGAGUGUAGAGGUGAAAUUCGUAGAUAUUCGGAAGAACACCAGUGGCGAAGGCGACUUACUGGACGAUUGUUGACGCUGAGGUGCGAAAGCGUGGGGAGCAAAACAGG
rnacentral:rRNA from 1 species